GCCAAAGCUGGAAUAACAAAAAGGAUCUCAAAGGGAUGCCGAAGCAGAACAUACUUGGAGAAUCAUUGAAUGCUAUUAUAAGCCUCAUUGGUUGGCACUGGGAAGCCCUGCACCAUUCUCAAGAUGUGCCUUACUUAUUGACAAAGCAAAGCAGAAUCUUGGUUCAAAUACACAGAAGCCUUGAAGUAUAAUUCAUCCCUUUGGUCCUAGAAUCACAGCUGCCACCAAACAUGACUCUCUGUCUGUGGGUGUUCUCCAACCAUGGAACAUGUUAGUGCCAAGAACUUAACUUCAAGAGCAGCCUGCCACUAAUAACUGAAGAGUUUUGGUAUGUAAUACCCCAGCUUCUUUACCUCUAAAUAGGGAUAACUCUACAGUGUGUUCA
rnacentral:lncRNA from 13 species